ACGUAGGGUGCGAGCGUUAAUCGGAAUUACUGGGCGUAAAGCGUGCGCAGGCGGUUCGUUAAGUUCGAUGUGAAAGCCCCGGGCUCAACCUGGGAAUGGCAUUGGAAACUGGCGGGCUUGAAUGCGGCAGAGGGGGGUGGAAUUCCGCGUGUAGCAGUGAAAUGCGUAGAGAUGCGGAGGAACACCGAUGGCGAAGGCAGCCCCCUGGGUCAAAACUGACGCUUAUGCACGAAAGCGUGGGGAGCAAACAGGA
rnacentral:rRNA from 1 species